rnacentral:lncRNA from 1 species
CACCGGGUCUGUCUGGUCUCAGCUCUGGCCUCUGAGUCAUUAGCGUUGUUUUCUUCUGAGGCCAGGGCUUCAGAUUAGUCAGGGGCUCCUGUUUCCUGGCUGAUAAAGCAGGUGGAAGAAACACAAUCUGGCCGCCUAGAGGCUGCGUGAAGCUCGUGACCCUGCGGGGUGACUAACGGAGCUCAGCUGGGUGGGACCAGAAACCACGUCUGGGCACUCCUGAGUCACAGGCUCAGAAGCUUUCGCCUCCGCCUUCAGACUGGCCCUCAGGCUUCCCUGCUCAGAGGCAGGGAAUUGUGCAGCUGGAGUUUCAUUUUCCAAGAGGCAGGGUCUCAGUCUGUCACCCAGGCUGGAGUACAGUGGCACCAUCUUGGCUCACUCUAGCCUCGACCUCCUGGGCUCAAGUGAGCCUCCUACCUCAGUCUCCCAAAAUGCUGGGAUUACAAGCAUGAACCACUGUGACUUGCCUUCUUGGCAAUUUUAAAUGAAAGAAGAAGAUGGAAUAAUGCCUACUGAGGACUAUGUUUGAGGGGUGUUGUAUGACCCCGUUUUCCAUACCCAGCCAACUUGUCAUGUGACAAGUCCACAGAAAGAUGUUAUAUGACAGGAAUCUAUGAACUAGUCUUCCCUGAAAUGUACCUGACUACAGCUAACAUCAUAUCACAUGAUGAAAGACCGCGUUGUUUUCCCCUGAGGUUGGCACAAACUCCAACAGGCCCCAAACGAGCUGAGAAAAUAUCCAACUUCAAAGGUUUUGCACAAAUCAUCUUAAAGGCCUGACCUAAGCCCGGAAAGCCGGAACGAAGCCCAGAAAUCAGUCCUCAUUUCAUCGCCGUUUAGCCAAGACACCUUUCCCGUCCACAGAUCACAUCUGCCCCCUUCUGCCCCCGCCCAGGUCCCAACCACCUUGAGACACCUGCGUGAUCCAUCCUCAAAGCAAUGAGUUAGGAGCCGCACUCCUGGUCCUUGGCCGGUGGCUUCAGUGUUAUUCCGGGGGGCUGGGUGGGGGCACCUGUGGGGACUGCCCCGUGAGGCUGUGGUUUAAU